UUUCCGGUUGAUCCCGCCGGACCUGACUGCUAUCGGAUUGAUACUAAGCCAUGCGAGUCAUUGUAGCAAUACAAGGCAGACGGCUCAGUAACGCGUAGUCAACCUAACCUAUGGACGGGAAUAACCUCGGGAAACUGAGAAUAAUGCCCGAUAGAACACUAUGCCUGGAAUGGUUUGUGUUCCAAAUGAUUUAUCGCCGUAGGAUGGGACUGCGGCCUAUCAGUUUGUUGGUGAGGUAAUGGCCCACCAAGACUAUUACAGGUACGGGCUCUGAGAGGAGUAGCCCGGAGAUGGGUACUGAGACACGGACCCAGGCCCUAUGGGGCGCAGCAGGCGAGAAAACUUUGCAAUGUGCGAAAGCACGACAAGGUUAAUCCGAGUGGUUUCUGCUAAAGGAACCUUUUGUCGGUCCUAGAAACACCGAUGAAUAAGGGGUGGGCAAGUUCUGGUGUCAGCCGCCGCGGUAAAACCAGCACCUCAAGUGGUCAGGAUGAUUAUUGGGCCUAAAGCAUCCGUAGCCUGCUUUGUUAGUUUUCGGUUAAAACUAUACGCUCAACGUAUAGGCUGCCGGGAAUACUGCAAAGCUAGGGAGUGGGAGAGGUAGACGGUACUCGGUAGGAAGGGGUAAAAUCCUUUGAUCUGUUGAUGACCACCUGUGGCGAAGGCGGUCUACCAGAACACGUCCGACGGUGAGGGAUGAAAGCUGGGGGAGCAAACCGGAUUAGAUACCCGGGUAGUCCCAGCCGUAAACCAUGCAAACUCAGUGAUGCAUUGGCUUGUGGCCAAUGCAGUGCUGCAGGGAAGCCGUUAAGUUUGCCGCCUGGGAAGUACGUACGCAAGUAUGAAACUUAAAGGAAUUGGCGGGGGAGCACCACAAGGGGUGAAGCCUGCGGUUCAAUUGGAUUCAACGCCGGGA
rnacentral:rRNA from 1 species